rnacentral:rRNA from 1 species
ACGGACCAAGGAGUCUAUUGCGUGUGCAAGUGUAAGGGCUUCACACCUGACAGCUCAACAAAGGUGACUGCUGGGACCUCUGCACCAGCAACCAACUGAUCGCUUAGGAGAUGUUUGUGUAUGAGCACACUUGCUAGGACCCGAAAGGUGGUGAACUAUGCCUGAGAAGGGUGACGUCAGGGGAAACUCUGAUGGAAGCUCGUA